UAAGUAUAAAUMCGAUCGUMUGAUGAAACUGCGCAAUGGCUNNUUAAAUCAGUUAUAAUAUCAGUNAUGAUAUAGUUGAUUCUACUGGAUAACCGUAGUAAGCGUAGAGCUAAUACAUACAUUCAGCCCCGAGUCGCAAGACRRAGGGUGUAUAUGUNAGGUAAAAAUCCAUUGAUGCAAGUACUCUCGGGGAAAGCUGAUUUGGUGAUUCAUGGCAUCUCAACGUAUCGCAUAGGUUCGCCCUGGCGAUGUAUCACACUAAUUUCUGCCCUAUCAAUUAUACGGUAGUGUAGUGGACUACCGUGGUUGUAACGGGUAACGGGGAAUAAGGGUUCGAUUCCGGAGAAGGAGCCUGAGAAACAGCUGCUAUUUCUAAGGAGAGCAGCAGGCGCGCAAAUUACCCAAUCCCAAUUCUGGGAGGUAGUGACAAUAAAUAACAAUACAAGUCUCUUAUGAGUCUCGUAAUUGGAAUGAGAACAAAGUAAACCUAUUAACGAGUAACAAUUGGAGGGCAAGUCUGGUUGGAUUGCGAUCAUAGCCAGCUGUCAAUCGUCGCGUUUACCCCCUGUGUAAGCGUGUAUGAAUUGGCUGAAAUCCAGAGAUGAGAACUGGGUGUACAUUUGUAAAUUGCGGGAAACCCCUAAAGACCAAAGGUACCGCGGCUCAUGGGCAACCAAGAGUGCAGCAGGUGGUGGGUAAUGCCUCACUGGAUGGUAACAACCCUUUGGUAUAUUCCUAGCCCAAAAAGAGGUGCACAUCUGAAGCCUUUCAUUAGGUCUUCGCCUAGGAGAAUGUGAACCCGAAUGGAACAAUGGGCAAUCCGCAGCGAAAUCUCCUCUAAUCUACCUGAGGUGAGACGUUCAGAGACUAUAAUCAAAUGGGGGCAACCUUAAGGGAUAGUCCACUCCCACGUGAAAGCGUGACUAGUGACGUAGUGGGCACUCACCCAUGAGGUAGCUAGUAUCCUUCGAGGCCUGGACCGAAAUGCCAGGAAGAGGAUGGUUCUAGAGGGCCAGCAGCCGCGGUAAUUCCAGCUCCAAUAGCGUAUACUAAAGUUGUUGCAGUUAAAACGCUCGUAGUCAAAUGAAGGGCCUCAUCUGGCGAAGUAACAGUGCCUCUGUACCUCUCUGGUCCCUGUUGUUCAGUGCUCUCGGGUGCUGUCUGGCAGGGCUGGGGUUGUGUGGGGGAUCACGCUGGCACCCAGUCAAUGGGGAUCCAAUCAACGAAUGUGAUUUCUUCCCGCCUGUAUCCUUAGUCACUUAAUUGUGUCUAUGAGGUGCACGGGUUUGUUUACCUUGAGAAAAUUAGAGUGUUCAAAGCAGGCACUAUUGUGAAGCCAUUGAAUAAUUAAGCAUGGGAUAAUUAAAUAGGGGUAGCAGCCUAUUUUUGAUGGAUUUUAAGUUGUUACCAAUGAUUAAAAGGGGCUGCCGGGGUUGUUCAUAUUUCAUUGUCAGAGGUGAAAUUCUUGGAUCGAUGAAAGAUGACCUACUGCGAAAGCAUUCAACAAGAAUGCCUCCAUUGAUCAAGAACGAAAGUUGGGGGAUCGAAGAUGAUCAGAUACCGUCGUAGUCUCAACUAUAAACUAUACCGACCAGUGAUUGGGGGAUUGUUUUUACAAUUGACUCAUAUCAGAAGCAUAAGAGAAAUCAGAAGUUUUUGGGUUCCGGGGGGAGUAUGGUCGCAAGGCUGAAACUUAAAGGAAUUGACGGAAGGGCACCACCAGGAGUGGAGCUUGCGGCUUAAUUUGACUCAACACGGGGAAACUUACCAGGUCCGGACAUCAGGAGGAUGAACAGAAUAAGAGCUCUUUUUUGAUUUGGUGGGUGGUGGUGCAUGGCCGUUCUUAGUUGGUGGAGCGAUCUGUCUGGUUAAUUCCGUUAACGAACGAGACCUUAACCUGCUAAAUAGCUACAUGAAUGGUAUGAUAUGGGGUGAACUUUUGGGCCGGUGGCAGUGUUUUCGUUCUCUUAACGGGGGGCGGGGAUGUUGUCGCUGUGUUGCUUGAGAGGGAUCCUCUUACCUAUUUGUGGGUAUGCUUCUUAGAGGGACUAUUUGAAUUUAUUGAAUGGAAGUUUGAGGCAAUAACAGGUCUGUGAUGCCCUUAGAUGUCCUGGGCUGCACGCGUGCUACACUGAUGCAACCAGCGAGUAACUUUCACCUUGACUGAUAAGUCUUGGUAAUCUUUUGAAACUGUAUCGUGAUGGGGAUAGAUCAUUGUAAUUAUUGAUCUUCAACGAGGAAUUCCUAGUAAACGUGCAUCAUCAGUGCACAUUGAUUACGUCCCUGCCCUUUGUACACACCGCCCGUCGCUCCUACCGAUUGAAUGUUCCGGUGAGGUCUUGGGAUGGGGUUGGCUGGGGCUUGGUUUCGGCCGAGCCUUUUCUACCUUUCAGAACUCGAUCAAAACCUUANNUUUAGA
rnacentral:rRNA from 1 species